CAAAGAGGAGAGAGGAGACAGUACAAAAGAGAAUGGUAAGAUUGAGUGAAAUUGACAUUGAAAAUGACAUUGUUUUUAAUAGAAUCAAAUGGCCUAAGUAAGUUUUCUUUUAUGAUUGCAAUCUAAUAAUUUUUGCUGUCAAGCAGAUGUAAGAAGGACCAUUGUAUUAAAAAGCAAGAAGAAAGAAGGAAGGCCCUUAGACUUGGAACAGUUUCGGCCAGCUCUUAAAAGACAGCUGGAACUAAUAGAAGAAGGAA
rnacentral:lncRNA from 1 species